AGCAAACUGGUCAGUUACAAACUUUGCUGCAGAUCCCUGAAAAACCUGGAUGAGGUUUCCUUCUUGUCUUGUAAAUCCUUGGGAGCUUGACCUUGUAACCAUGUGGCCAUGCUUUCUCUUUUCACAAUGGCAGCCUGGGUUCAGGGUUCCAUUCCCAGCUUAGGGGAUGACUCCUUUAUCUUCUGUCUAUAUGUAUAUGUAUUAUGUGUGUGAUGUUUAUACAUGAAAGAACUUUAAUUUGGUUUGAAAAUAAUAAGAGCUUAAAUAUUUUACCAGAAAAAUAAAAAGCAUAAUGUCUUUUAGUUCCUGUGACUUAAGUAAUUUUUGGGAAAUAGAGUUUUAAAGAUUAUUGGUAAAAUAAAAAUAUCUUCAAAAAUGUAAACAUUUAGUCUAAAUUAUGCAGAUCAGAUAUUACAUUUACUAAAUUCUUUAAGAUCAUAAACUGCUUCUUUGACUUUUGAAAAUUGUUCAAUUUACCUACUUUGGAGCAUUAGAUUCUACAUAAGGCCUGGGGACAUGUGGAAUUAGCCAUGCCCCCUAGCUAUGCAAAGAUGGUUAUAAAGAAAAGAGAUUUUAUGUAAGAAAGGAUGUUGUAUGGUAAAUUCUCGUCCUAAAGUAAAAUGACUAGUUGUUUAAAAAAAGGGAAUUUACGCAAGAAAUGUUGUGUAAUUUGAAGGUUGUUAGGCCUGCUAAAUGCCUUGUAAAAUGCCAUUAUGACUCUUAACUGUAUGACUUACCUGCUUUACAGCUAGGUAAGGCCUGGGACACAUUAGAAGUUAGAUGCUGGAAAGAGUCAGACCUUAUCUGCACUUCUGUUUGCUGUCCUAGGCUCCAUACUAGUACAUAAUUAAAAUCCCAAACUUACCAAGGUUUUCACCAAAAGUAAAAGUUGCUAAGAGUUAUCACUGUAACAUGUAAUUGAGACUACUGAAGAAACAGUUUUACAUGCGAGGUGUGUAAAGAAAGUGAAAUGUGUUUUUGGUGAAAAAUUAUAAGAAGUCAUGGGAAUGUGGAUUUUUCUUGCCUAGAUUAAAGGUUAAAGGAUUGUUUUAAGUUAGAAUAAAACUAAAGGUUUAAGCAAGGGGUGGAAGGUUUGUGAAAAAUUAAUUGUAAAAGAAAUUCUGUGUGUGAACAUACUGACUAAAGUUAAAGGGGUAUUAUUCAGCUUUUCCGUCAAUUAAACAUUGGAAUAAAAGCACAACAGGUUUUUCUUAGAGCAAAAACCUGCCUAUGAUCUCUUUAACAAAAAUUUGUAAAGGGUUAUACAAAAUUUGUAAGAAUCUCACCUUAUGUUCAAACUGAUUAAGAUUAAAUAAAUUUAUCUAUAAGGUUUUAUUAAGAAUUGGAUUUGACAUCAAUAACGCACUAAUGCAACAGUAACAUUUGGCUUAUUGGGUAUAAAAAUCAUAUAGAAAGCAUUGUCAAAUAUGAAAUAGUGUUUGGCUUUCGUCGGACUAUAUUUGUAUAAAUGUGUUACUGGUAUAUGUUCCAAAAUUAUUUUUAAAACUCCUAUAAUUCUGAUAUGACUUAAUGUGUUAUUAAUAAUUAUUACAUAAAAUCAUUGUGUGCCACAGAGGCAACCAAAAUUUCCUAGUCAAUUGUGGAUUUAAUAGUGGCUGUCCUAAGACUUUUUAUCAUCUACAAUUGUUGUCUUGUUUUAAUCCUCUUUAGAAGGUGGUUUAUAAUCAACUACAGGACUUUGACAGAUGUUCUUGAAUGCAAGUUUCUGAUAACUUUGGAAAUUGUAACAUUAGAAUAGAGGAAAAAACUUUCAGGACUCAUAGAGAGCUGAAAUGUUCCUGAAUAUCAAACAGAAGUUAACUGCAUGUACUAAACUGAAGAAGUCUAAAGUAAUCUUUUUAAUUUUGUUUCAAACGUUGCUGAUCCUUUGUUUUGUUUUUCAGAGUCAAGGAAACUUUUCAGCUAUUUACAGCUUUUAACAAUUGAGUAAAGCAUACUCCUGUGAACAAAAUUUGGAACAUAUUUGUUUCUCUCUACCUGAUUUCUCCACAAUUUGGAAACUAUGUAUAUCACCUUUUGUUGGACUCAAGAGUUAUGAAUGGCCCUCACCAUACUGAUGCUUUCUGACUGAGCUCCUCACUACCCUGAACACAAGAGGGAGGAAUAUCAUCGCCCCUAUUCAGCCUGGAGAAGUUACAAAAGAUGGAUCUUCGUCCCUCUGCAACCCUUAGGAUUAAUGGUUCUCCUAUAAAAGGGAUGGGGGGAAAAUGUCAGAGGCAUUUGAACAAGAGCAACUCCAUCUUAAAGAGGAGCUGGGUAAAAUAAGGCUGAAACCUACUGGGCUGCAUUCCCAGAUGGUUAAGGCAUUCUAAGUCACAGGAUGAGAUAGGAGGUUGGCACAAAAUACAGGUCAUAAAGACCCUGCUGAUAAAACAGGUUGCAGUAAAGAAGCUGGCCAAAACCCACCAAAACCAAGAUGGCAAUGAGACUGAUCUCUGGUCGUCCUCACUGCUACACUCCCACCAGCGCCAUGACAGUUUACAGAUGCCAUGGCAACAUCAGGAAGUUACCCUAUAUGGCCUAGAAAGGGGAGGCAUGAUAAUCCACCUCUUGUUUAGCAUAUCAUCAAGAAAUAACCAUAAAAAUGGACAACCAGCAGCCCUGGGGACUGCUGUGCCUGUGGAGUAGCCAUUCUUUUAUUCCUUUCCUUUUUUUUUUUUUUUUUUUUUUUUUUUUUUGAGAUGAGUCUCGCUCAGUAACCCAGGCUGGAGUGCAGUGGCGCUAUCUCGGCUCACUGCAAGCUCCGCCUCCUGGGUUCACGCCAUUCUCCUGCCUCAGCCUCCCAUGUAGCUGGGACUACAGGUGCCCACCACUACGCCCAGCUAAUUUUCUUGUAUUUUUAGUAGAGACGGGGUUUCACCCUGUUAGCCAGGAUGGUCUCGAUCUCCUGACCUCGUGAUCUGCCCGUCUCGGCCUCCCAAAGUGCUGGGAUUACAGGCGUGAGCCACCGCACUUGGCCUAUUCCUUUACUUUCUUAAUAAACUUGCGUUUACUUUGCA